ensembl:lncRNA
CGGCGAUGCCACCUGCGCUCACACUACGCUUGGAGCAUGCGGGUUUUUGUCGGACGCCGCUGCCAAUAUGGGCGGGAAGCGGAUAUGAUAUCAUCAUACUUAAUUAUGUCUUAUAGCAGUAAUAUGCACAUGGAGGGAGGAAACUGUGGAGGAUGAGCAUGGGGAGAGGAGGAGACGGGGGGAGCAGGUGACUGAUGAAGAGGAUGACAUUGAAGAGUCCCCUCCCAGAAGAAGACAGUGUGUGGAGCAUGAGGAUGCUGACGAUGAGCCAAUUGAUUUCGCUAGUUUGGAGAGGAACUCGUCCCCUUUGUGGCGCUUAUCCCCUACUUUGGUGUUCGUUCCAUCUGCAGAUGCUCCCUCCAGCAGUGAGCAUUUCUGGUGGAUGAUGAUGAUGAGGGAGCAGAUGAACGAUGAAGAGGACAGUGAUGAAGAGGCCCCUCCUAGAAGAAGGCAGCAUGUGGAGCAGGAAGAUGACGACUAUGAGGUGUCUGAGCUCAGUAAUUCGGAGAGUAGCUCACCCCCUUUGUGGAGCUUAUUCCCAGCUUUGGAGUGUAUCCACAACAUGC